ACCCGCUGAAUUUAAGCAUAUAAGUAAGUGGAAGCAAGAAACACACCAGGACUCCCGUAGUAGUGGCGAAUGCACAGGGAUAAACUCAGCAUGAAAAUUCGGAUAUCUGGUCCUGAGUUGUAGUCUUGCAAUGCACUACCAGAGGGGAUGCAGCUACAGGCCCUUGGAAAAGGAGAGUCGUUGAGGGUGGAAACCUGUGUAUUGGCUGCAACACCCCUACGAUCGGCGUGCCCUUUUUUUUGAGUCGUGUACCUUGGCACUGUUGCGUGAAGCGGCGGUAAUGUUUAUCCAAAGCUGAAGACACACUUGGGGCCAAUAGAAAACAAGUACCUUGAGGGAAGGGUGAAACAUAACUUUGUAAAGAGAGAUAAAUAUGCUUGAACUUGCUGAUGUUGAUGUGAAUGGUGACAGUGUCAUGUGGCAAGAUUUAUACGUACUAAUGUGUCUGUCUGAUGUUUGUGUAUGUGUCAAGUAACAGGAUUUGAGCAGGAUGCAUGUAGUGUAUCUCGCACUACCUAUCAAUUCCAGCAUGCUGCUCAGGAUCAGCGGCACAGACCUGGUUGACUAUCUCUGGGUAGAAGAAGAUCUGUGUGCUGCUAGUGCAGGUGCACAGUGGUGACCACAAUGACUCAGUUGGCCCGUCUUGAAACACGGAUCAAGGAGUCUAACAUACAUACAAGCAUAUGGGCAAGGAACCUGAGUGCACAAUGAAAGUAGUGGCUGGGACUCAUUCCACCAGCAACCGACCAUUUGCCAAAGGAAUGCCUGAGUAUGAGCAGGUGUAUUAGGACCCGAAAGAUGGUGAACUAUGUCUGUGAAUUGCAAAAUCCAUGGGGGGAACUAUGAUGGAGGCCUGUAGCGGUACUAACGUGCAAGUUGUUCGUCAUACAUGGGCAUAAGGGGCGAAAGACUAAUCGAACCAUCUAGUAGCUGGUUCCGGCUGAAGUUCCCCUCAGGAUAGAUGGGCAUGGAACGUUUUACUAAGUAAAGCAAAUGGUUCGAGGCAUCGGGGCCUGUCGCCCUUGACCUAUCCUCAAACUCUAAAGAGGUAAGUUGCAGUAGUUACUCGUGUGAGCGACUGGGACAAAUGGCAGUCCCAAGUGGCCCAUUCUUGGUAAGCAGAACUGGCGAUGAGACAUGAACCUAAUGUUAGACUAAGGUGCUCCAUUGCUCGCUCAUCAGAUACCAUAAAGGGUGUUGGUUCAUCUUGACAGCAGGGCGGUGGUCAUGGAAGUUGAAAUCCGCUAAGGAGUGUGUAAUAACUCACCUGCCGAAUGGACUAGCCCCAAAAAUGGAUGGCGCUCAAGUUGGCAACUGAUGUUUGGCCAAUGCUGCUGCUUGUGUGCACCACUGAGUAGGAGGGUAUGCGGUCUAGUGGAGAAGCUUUCGGGUGCAACCCUGAGUGAAGCAGAUCCAGGUGCAGAUCUUGGUGGUAGUAGC
rnacentral:rRNA from 1 species